CUAGCCGUAAACGAUGGAUACUAGGCGUUGUGAGUAUCGACCCUCACAGUGUCGUAGCUAACGCGUUAAGUAUCCCGCCUGGGGAGUACGCGCGCAAGCGUGAAACUCAAAGGAAUUGACGGGGGCCCGCACAAGCGGUGGAGUAUGUGGCUUAAUUCGAUGCAACGCGAAGAACCUUACCAGGACUUGACAUGUCGCGAAUCUCAGGGAAACUUGAGAGUGCCUUCGGGAGCGCGAACACAGGUGGUGC
rnacentral:rRNA from 1 species